GUUUAGAGGUUUUAGCAAGCCCUCCUAAUCCCCGGUUUAGAACGAUCCCUACUUACAUACUUUACUACAUUUGAUAAAAAGAGGGUUUAAUUUGUGUGCUUAUAUAUUUCGCACCAAGUAACACAUCUUAGUGAGAUAUGUGUUUCAACACAAUACGCUGGAUAAAAUAAAGUCUGUUUAUUGAUAUCUCCGAGAAAUUACAAGUACAAAAAAAAAAAGGAAACUUCACAACGAUUGCUCACGUGAAGCCUCAGCACUCGGCAGAACCCUAGAAGAAGAAGGCACUAAAGAUUGAUCAGGUGGUGCCUCAAUACUUGGUCGAACGCCAGAAAGCGAAGCCAAAAGGUGCCUCUGGAAGACAGCCACAAACUUCUGAUGGUCGCUUUGAAUUCAACCUUCAGAUUCCUACAGAUGAUCAAGCUUUCUCUUCAUGCUCGUCGAAUAAUCAUUUGUAAGCAUACGCAACUCUCGAUUCUCAUGCUUGAGAUGUUUGAUCUUUCUUCCAAGACUUUCCACCCCGAUCGUCAAUGAUUCAACUUGGUGAGUUCGAGCAAGUAGGCGCUGGCCCAUGUUGGACACAUAGCCCACACACUAAACACUAAGAGCCAGGGAGUCUUGGACAGCCAACUUAUCGGUCCGCCUUGAAAGCAACCUAUUAUCUCUAGGAGUGAGGAGGUUCCUAGCUAUAACCAUAGUCAUUGUCGCUCAUCACAGAGUCUUCAACUGUAAAAGGGCCAUCAGAAGAUAAGAAGGAUGGG
rnacentral:lncRNA from 1 species